rnacentral:rRNA from 1 species
CCUACGGGGGGCAGCAGUGGGGAAUAUUGCACAAUGGGCGCAAGCCUGAUGCAGCCAUGCCGCGUGUGUGAAGAAGGCCUUCGGGUUGUAAAGCACUUUCAGCGGGGAGGAAGGCGUUAAGGUUAAUAACCUUGUCGAUUGACGUUACCCGCAGAAGAAGCACCGGCUAACUCCGUGCCAGCAGCCGCGGUAAUACGGAGGGUGCAAGCGUUAAUCGGAAUUACUGGGCGUAAGGCGCACGCAGGCGGUCUGUCAAGUCGGAUGUGAAAUCCCCGGGCUCAACCUGGGAACUGCAUUCGAAACUGGCAGGCUAGAGUCUUGUAGAGGGGGGUAGAAUUCCAGGUGUAGCGGUGAAAUGCGUAGAGAUCUGGAGGAAUACCGGCGGCGAAGGCGGCCCCCUGGACAAAGACUGACGCUCAGGUGCGAAAGCGUGGGGAGCAAACAGGAUUAGAUACCCGGGUAGUC